GGGAGGUAGUGACAAGAAAUAACAAUACAGGGCUAAUGUCUUGUAAUUGGAAUGAUGGUGACCCAAACCCUCACCAGAGUAGCAAUUGGAGGGCAAGUCUGGUGCCAGCAGCCGCGGUAAUUCCAGCUCCAAUAGCGUAUAUUAAACUUGUUGCAGUUAAAAAGCUCGUAGUUGAAUUUUAGCGUGUUCGAGUUUGCCAUUCGUUUGGCUUUUUCGAGUUCGCUUUUGGGUUUUCCCUUUUUACUUUGAGAAAAUUAGAGUGUUUCAAGCAGACUUUUGUCUUGAAUACUUCAGCAUGGAAUAAUAGAGUAGGACUUUGGUUCUAUUUUGUUGGUUAUUGAACCUUAGUAAUGGUUAAUAGGAACGGUU
rnacentral:rRNA from 1 species